UAGCUCAGAUGGUAAAGAAUCUGCCUGCAAUGCAGAAGACCCAGGUUUGAUCCCUGG
rnacentral:tRNA from 1 species